GGUGUGGCUCAGUCUGGUAGAGCGCCUGGUUUGGGACCAGGAUGUCGCAGGUUCGAAUCCCG
rnacentral:tRNA from 1 species